AGUGAACGCUGGCGGUAGGCCUAACACAUGCAAGUCGAACGGCAGCACAGGAGAGCUUGCUCUCUGGGUGGCGAGUGGCGGACGGGUGAGGAAUACAUCGGAAUCUACUCUGUCGUGGGGGAUAACGUAGAGAAACUUACGCUAAUACCGCAUACGACCUACGGGUGAAAGCAGGGGACCUUCGGGCCUUGCGCGAUUGAAUGAGCCGAUGUCGGAUUAGCUAGUUGGCGGGGUAAAGGCCCACCAAGGCGACGAUCCGUAGCUGGUCUGAGAGGAUGAUCAGCCACACUGGAACUGAGACACGGUCCAGACUCCUACGGGAGGCAGCAGCGGGGAAUAUUGGACAAUGGGCGCAAGCCUGAUCCAGCCAUACCGCGUGGGUGAAGAAGGCCUUCGGGUUGUAAAGCCCUUUUGUUGGGAAAGAAAUCCAGCUGGCUAAUACCCGGUUGGGAUGACGGUACCCAAAGAAUAAGCACCGGCUAACUUCGUGCCAGCCGCCGCCGUAA
rnacentral:rRNA from 1 species